rnacentral:lncRNA from 1 species
CUCGUGCAUUAAAAAAAAAAACUAAGGAGAAAACAAAGCUUAAGCGUUCUCAAGGAUUACCACACACAGUAAUGGCUGAUGGUUCGUCUCUACCGUGACUACGACCGAGGCCUGUCUCGUAGCAGCCAUCACUGUACAUGAUAUACUCGUAUGUGAGAGCCGGUGGAUGGAUAGAUGUUAUCCUCAGCCCUUUCUUAGGCCACCAAUCCACUUUGAAAACCUCAAUGGCAUAAAUGCACCUACUACUGUU